UACGGGGGGAGCAAGCGUUGUUCGGAUUUACUGGGCGUAAAGGGCGCGUAGGCGGCCACCGCAAGUCGACUGUGAAAUCUCCGGGCUUAACCCGGAAAGGUCAGCCGAUACUGCGGGGCUAGGGUGCAGAAGGGGCAACUGGAAUUCUCGGUGUAGCGGUGAAAUGCGUAGAUAUCGAGAGGAACACCUGCGGCGAAGGCGGGUUGCUGGGCUGACACUGACGCUGAGGCGCGAAAGCUAGGGGAGCGAACGGG
rnacentral:rRNA from 1 species